ACGAACGCUGGCGGCGUGCUUAACACAUGCAAGUCGAACGGAAAGGCCCUGCUUUUGUGGGGUGCUCGAGUGGCGAACGGGUGAGUAACACGUGAGUAACCUGCCCUUGACUUUGGGAUAACUUCAGGAAACUGGGGCUAAUACCGGAUAGGAGCUCCUGCUGCAUGGUGGGGGUUGGAAAGUUUCGGCGGUUGGGGAUGGACUCGCGGCUUAUCAGCUUGUUGGUGGGGUAGUGGCUUACCAAGGCUUUGACGGGUAGCCGGCCUGAGAGGGUGACCGGCCACAUUGGGACUGAGAUACGGCCCAGACUCCUACGGGAGGCAGCAGUGGGGAAUAUUGCACAAUGGGCGGAAGCCUGAUGCAGCAACGCCGCGCGCGGGAUGACGGCCUUCGGGUUGUAAACCGCUUUCGCCUGUGACGAAGCGUGAGUGACGGUAAUGGGUAAAGAAGCACCGGCUAACUACGUG
rnacentral:rRNA from 1 species